AUUGCUUCUUGGCCUUUUGGCUAAGAUCAAGUGUAGUAUAAUUAAGAAAGUGUGGUGAAGGCUAUGUUAAUUUCGGUCUUUAGACUUAUCCUCAAACAUUUUGGACACAUGUUAAGAGUGCCUCUAUUGGAGAACUCUGGGGUAGAGAAUGUUACAUUUCCUCGGCUUCUUGAAACCCAU
rnacentral:snRNA from 1 species